AUUAGUGUGUAUGCUAAUAGACCCUAAUUAUUAUUUAUUUUUCUAUUUUAUUACACAUCACAGAGUUUCAGCAAUACAUAUUCCUUUACUUAUUAGCCUUUUGAAACUCCAAGACGUCAAGCUCCUUGUCUUCAAUGAAAAAAAGAUCAUCCAAAGAUGACUAGAAGCUGCAUCCAUAACUAAGGAAGAAGAGAUGUUGUCUGGGAUUCCUGGAGCUGAGAUGGUUACCACGACUGUUACACUUUGUGUCUACCCCUUUAGAAGAGAUGAUGGAUGAGAGUGUCUCCAAUCUCUAUUUUUAUUUCUUUCACCUAUUAUUUUUCUCUUUACACACAUAGAAAAUAGUGUAAAGAAAAACAUCAAUAUUUUAAGAGUGUGUGUUCCCGAAUUAGGAGCUAUGACCUACUUUUUUUUCUUGUUUACAUGCUCCUGCACUUUUCAAAUUAUUUACAAUUCAUUUCUGUGCUUUCUAUUUUUGUUACUAUAUGUAUUAUAUUUUCUUA
rnacentral:lncRNA from 1 species